AAUGAACGCUGGCGGCGCGCCUAAUACAUGCAAGUCGAGCGAGAAGACGUAGCAAUACGUUUGUAAAGCGGCGAACGGGUGAGGAAUACAUGGGUAACCUACCCUCGAGUGGGGAAUAACUAGCCGAAAGGUUAGCUAAUACCGCGUACGCUCCUUGGACUUCGGUUCAGGGAGGAAAGCGAUACCGUGGGUAUCGCGCUCUUGGUUGGGCUCAUGUCCUAUCAGCUUGUUGGUGAGGAACGGCUCACCAAGGCUUCGACGGGUAGCUGGUCUGAGAGGACGAUCAGCCACACUGGCACUGCGACACGGGCCAGACUCCUACGGGAGGCAGCAGUAAGGAAUAUUGCGCAAUGGGCGAAAGCCUGACGCAGCGACGCCGCGUGGGGGAUGAAGGUCUUCGGAUUGUAAACCCCUUUCGGGAGGGAAGAUGGAACGAGCAAUCGUUCGGACGGUACCUCCAGAAGCAGCCACGGCUAACUUCGUGCCAGCAGCCGCAGUAAU
rnacentral:rRNA from 1 species